GACGGAGGGGGCUAGCGUUGUUCGGAAUUACUGGGCGUAAAGGGCGCGUAGGCGGCAAAUCAAGUUAGGCGUGAAAUCCCUGGGCUUAACCCAGGAACUGCGUUUAAUACUGGUUAGCUAGAGAUCGGUAGAGGAAAGUGGAAUUCCUAGUGUAGAGGUGAAAUUCGUAGAUAUUAGGAAGAACACCAGAGGCGAAGGCGACUUUCUGGACCGAUACUGACGCUGAGGCGCGAAAGCGUGGGGAGCAAACAGG
rnacentral:rRNA from 1 species